GAUGCCCAGAGUCAUCAGACUCCUGGAGACAGAAAUUAGGGCCUGGGCUGGGGCGCCUGGAUGGUUCAGUCGGCUAAGCGUUCGACUUCGGCUCAGGUCACGAUCUCGCGGUUCGUGGGUUCGAGCCCCGCGUGGGGCUCUGUGCUGACAGCUCGGAGCCUGGAGCCUGCUUCCGAUUCUGUGUCUCCCUCUCUCUCCGCCCCUCCCCUGCUCAUGCUCUGUCUCUCUCUCUCUCUCUCUCAAAAAAUAAAUCAAAAAAAAAAAAAAAAGAAAGUAGGGUCUGGGGAGGGGUGGGGGACAUAAAUGAGGACAGAGGUUCAGUUCAGCAAGAUAAAAAAAUGUCCUGGAGAAUAUGGUUGCACAACAAUGUGAGUGCGCAUAAAUAACAUCACUGAACUAAAUACACUUAGAUAUGGUUAAGAUGGCAAAUUUUAUGGGUUUUUUUUAAGCAGAUUUUUAGAAAAUUAAACCAUAAUGCUAUUGGCUGAGCAUUGCCUCUGUGCCUGACGCUGACCGGCACAUCGCAGCUCAUGCGUAAUUCCUCUCACCUUUAGAGACAACCAGACUGGGGAGACUGGUACCAUCGGUUCGCAGGGAAGAACACGCUGUCAUUCAAAAGUGUUCAAAACGGCAUCUCACUUAAUCCUCAGAAAUUAUUCAUCCAUUCAACAAAUGUCGGUGUCGCUGGUCUGUGUCCCCAGUGCCUGGGGACCUCAACCAAGCCCUGAACUGCGUUACCUCCCCGGGCCUGAUGUCUACCACCUCGAUCCAUUUCCACGAUUCCAGCAAGGAUUGUGUUCCCAGAGCACCACUCCAACCAAGCCGCUGUCCUGCUUAAAAUCGAUCCGUGGCUCCCCGACGCCAGCUGAGCUGCGCCCGGGCCCCCUGAGAUGGCACUCCACUCUUGGUGACCCCUGGCUUUGAUUUCCAUUGCCUUGAAUUGAGUCUCCCUGCGCCACUCUUCGUGGAAUUCUCAGAGCAACUCGGUCUCCGAGAAACCACGGUCGAAUAGCUCGAGACGGAAGUCACCGUGGCCUCCUCUGACCCUGUCAAGGGGUUCCGUGCUGCUCUCUGACUCACACACCACCACCGGCCUCACCACCACUGUUCUCAUCUGAAUGCCUGUGUCCCCCCAACCCCCCACCCCCCAGCAAAUUUCUGUGUUGUAACCCGAUCCCGAUGCGACGGCAUUUGGACACAGUGCUUUCUGAAGGUAAUUAGGUCAUGAGGGGGGAGUCCUGGCGGUUGGGAUUAGUGCCUUAUAAAAAAGGCCCCUGGGACAUCCCUGACCCUUCUCCAUCCCUGAGACGACGCAGUCUUAGAAACAGGACGCGGGCUCUCACCGGACAUCAAAUCUGCCAAUACCUAAUCUUGGAUUUCCUGACCUCCAGAACUGUGAGAGAUAGAUUUCUGUUAUUUAAGCACUCAGAACUGAUUUAGACAACCACCACCACCAUCAGUCAUCAUCACUGCUUCUCUCUUUAUUUACCGUUAUUUUAAUACGUCUUUUCUGUCAUUCCUGGCUGAAUGCCCUCACCUUGAGGGCAGAGUUAAAUCUGCGUGGUCUUUGUUGUUGUUGUUUUUUUAAUGUUUAUUUAUUUUUGGGAGCGAGAGCGAGAGCGAGAGACAGAGCAUGAGCAGGGGAGGAGCAGAGAGAGAGGGAGGCACAGAUUCCAAAGCAGGCUCCGGGCUCUGAGCUGUCAGCACAGAGCCCGACGUGGGGCCCGGGCUCACGAAAGCAAGUUCGUGACCUGAGCCCAAGUCGGAUGCUUAACCGACUGAGCCACCCAGGCGCCCCUCUGUGUGGUCUUUGUAUCCAGUCCCAAUGCCCAACCCAGUAUCCAUCACAGUGAAGGAAUGAACGAAGGAGGGAGUUUGUGAGUCACUGAUUCCAGGCUAUCUGGCUACCGGGGCAUCAACAAGG
ensembl:lncRNA